CGGAAGAGGAAGGUCAUGCCGCUCUCGCGUCUGUGACCUUCAUAAGAGUUUUUCCUCGCUCUCAUAAACAGUGAGGAAACUUUUACAUAUUAUUUUUUUCCUCCACCUUCUCUGGAAAAUACAAAAAUCCUAGGGUGCGAGACAAGAUUCUACGUUAAUCCAAGUGUUGUGUUUUGAGUGUUUGUGAAAAAAAAUAUAUAUAUAUACGAGUGGAUUUUGUUUUGGAAUUAAUUAAAAGUCGAAUAGAAUCGUACGGUUUUAUUUUUUUUUUCUCUGUCUUGGAGGAUUCGUUGUCGACAGAUCCUUGAAUGCCCUGCGAGAUUUUCACCGAAGGAAAGGAAAGCGGAAAGGCACAGAGCCACAGGAAGUGAUUUUUCUUCAACGCUUUAC